rnacentral:lncRNA from 1 species
AGCCACCGGCCUACACCACAGCCACAGCAACGAAGGAUCUGAGCCGCGUCUGCGACCUACACCACAGCUCACGGCAACCCUCCUGGGAACGUCCAUAUGCCUUGGGUGUGGCCCUAAAACAAACAAAAAACAACAAAAAAGCAAAUCACUUGUGAAACACUUACUAGCCUCAUUUGAUUGAUCCUACUUGGGCUUUUAGAGUUUAUCUACCUCAACUGCCAUCCUUCUACAUGCGAUGUAAAAGUUAAAAAUAAUUAUUUUGGAACCACUUACACAGAGAUGAACACAAAUAGUACAUACAUACCAAUAUAUCAUCUUGAUUUUGGUCCAUAUUUAAUGACCUUGUUCAGCCCUCCCCAUGCAAACACAAUUAGGUAUAACAACCUUAAUUUAAACCCAUUGUCAAAAGAAAACAUCCCUAAUGAAACACAACUUCAAAUUAGAGUUAAAUCUGUCUCCUAGACCAAAAUAUACAAAAGGUUCUUGCUUAUAUUUUUAAACUUCUUGUGACUUGUUUAAAGAUUCAAGGUUUUCACUGAAAUGACGCAUAGAUGACUAAAUUUUCAUUUAGGGCAAAUAGUAACUCAGGAAGAAUUCAACUGGUGCACUUGGAUUAGUUUCAAUACUUUUCAUCAAAACACAUGGAAAUAAAAUUGGCCAGAGGAAACUAUAUCUUCUUUUUUUUUUUNUUUUUUUUUUUUUUUGUUCUUUUGCCUUUUCUAGGGCCGAUCCUGCGGCAUAUGGAGGUUCCCAGGCUAGGGGUCUAAUCGGAGCUGUAGCCACCGGCCUACACCAGAGCCACAGCAACGAAGGAUCUGAGCAACUCAUGGCGACCUACACCACAACUCAUGGCAACACCUGAUCCUUAACCCACUGAGCAAGGCCAAGGAUCAAACACGCAACCUCAUGGUUCCUAUCAGAUUCAUUAACCACUUAGCCACAACGGGAACUACAACUAUACCUUUCUUUUGUUCUGUUUAAGGCCAAUGGUCUAAAGAAAGAAAGAAAAAAAGUACUUUUAAGUAGGGAUUGGUAUCAUUACAUUCCUUCCA